rnacentral:rRNA from 1 species
GACGAACGCUGGCGGCGUGCUUAACACAUGCAAGUCGAACGGAAAGGCCCUGCUUUUGUGGGGUGCUCGAGUGGCGCACGGGUGAGUAACACGUGAGUAACCUGCCCUUGACUUUGUGAUAACUUCAGGAAACUGGGGCUAAUACCCGAUAGGAGCUCCUGCUGCAUGGUGGGGGUUGGAAAGUUUCGGCGGUUGGGGAUGGACUCGCGGCUUAUCAGCUUGUUGGUGAGGUAGUGGCUUACCAAGGUUAUGACGGGUAGCCGGCCUGAGAGGGUGACCGGCCACAUUGGGACUGAGAUACGGCCCAGACUCCUACGGGAGGCAGCAGUGGGGAAUAUUGCACAAUGGGCGGAAGCCUGAUGCAGCAACGCCGCGUGCGGGAUGACGUCCUUCGGGUUGUAAACCGCUUUCGCCUGUGACGAAGCGUGAGUGACGGUAAUGGGUAAAGAAGCACCGGCUAACUACGUG